rnacentral:lncRNA from 1 species
GGAUCCGGCGUACUUCGCCGGCGGUUGCUGCAUGGCGCCGCCGUAGUCCACGGCGCCCCCUCCUGUCACGUUGAAAUUUGAACUGAACCUGAACUCCGGCGCCGCCGCCGCCGUGGCGGCGACGUCGCCUCCGAACGGCGCGUCGUCGCGGAUGAAGAAAUUAGCCUGCUGCUGCUGAUGGUGGUGGUGGUGCAUCUGCGUGGCGGCGGCGACGUCGUUGUCGUACAUGGUCAUCAGCCCGGCGAGGCAUCUCUGGCCGUCGACGGGGAGGUCGAAGUCGAAGCUGCCGAGUGGCUCGAAGAUGUGCGGCGGCGGCGGCUUGCUCUCGGCGGCGGCGGCGGCGGCGUUGUGCUUGCAGGCGUACUGAUGGGCGUUGCGUUCGUUGCGGUCGAGGAAGCCGAGCGCGUAGUUGCUGUGCGGGCACUGCACGUUGCCGCAGGUGUAGACGCGGGCAUGGCUGUCGCUGCUCAGCAUCAGCUCCGGCUCGCUCCUCUUCUGGAUGAAGUCGACGUCGAUGGCCUCUUCCUUCAUCAGCGGCAUGAUCAGGAACUUGUUGUUGCUCAGAGCAGCAUCCAUGGUGGUGGUGAGGUCCAUGAACGCGGUCGCGUCGUUCUGCGCCUUCUGCAGGUUGUUGUUCCCGGCCUCGUCGCCGUCGACUCCUUCGACGUCGUACUCGCCGGAGACGCUG